rnacentral:RNase_P_RNA from 2 species
AACCACGAGUAAUUGCGCCCUAUGUAUGUAGGGUGAGGAAGGUCCAUGCCCGCACAGGCUGCGAUGCCUGUAGUGAUUGCGCCAGGCCCAAUAAGCCUGGGUACCGAGUUAUCGGUAACGGCGACCAAACGCGCUAAGGCUUAUGCUAUGCGCCAGUAGGUCUGAACAGUGCCACAGAGACGAUGCGCAUCGGAAACGGUGCGCCUGGAACGGGUAAACCCCGCAAGCGAGUAACCCAAACUUUGGUAGGGGCGUUUCGCCAUGGUAACUGAACUAACGGCGAAAUAGUGCAUUGCACUAAGAUAGAUGAUUACUAAUGGUCGGUUGUGCCUGACUUCCGACCGGAACAAAACAUGGCCUAUAGAG